GAUGAACGCUGGCGGCGUGCCUAAUACAUGCAAGUCGAGCGAAUGGAUUAAGAGCUUGCUCUUAUGAAGUUAGCGGCGGACGGGUGAGUAACACGUGGGUAACCUGCCCAUAAGACUGGGAUAACUCCGGGAAACCGGGGCUAAUACCGGAUAACAUUUUGAACCGCAUGGUUCGAACUCGAAAGGCGGCUUCGGCUGUCACUUAUGGAUCGACCCGCGUCGCAUUAGCUAGUUGGUGAGGUAACGGCUCACCAAGGCAACGAUGCGUAGCCGACCUGAGAGGGUGAUCGGCCACACUGGGACUGAGACACGGCCCAGACUCCUACGGGAGGCAGCAGUAGGGAAUCUUCCGCAAUGGACGAAAGUCUGACGGAGCAACGCCGCGUGAGUGAUGAAGGCUUUCGGGUCGUAAAACUCUGUUGUUAGGGAAGAACAAGUGCUAGUUGAAUAAGCUGGCACCUUGACGGUACCUAACCAGAAAGCCACGGCUAACUACGUGCCAGCCGCCGCCGUAA
rnacentral:rRNA from 1 species